UCAACAUUGCAUUCCCCAAUCCGGGCGAG
rnacentral:sRNA from 1 species